rnacentral:rRNA from 1 species
GGCGGCAGGCCUAACACAUGCAAGUCGAGCGGUAGAGAGAAGCUUGCUUCUCUUGAGAGCGGCGGACGGGUGAGUAAUACCUAGGAAUCUGCCUGAUAGUGGGGGAUAACGUUCGGAAACGGACGCUAAUACCGCAUACGUCCUACGGGAGAAAGCAGGGGACCUUCGGGCCUUGCGCUAUCAGAUGAGCCUAGGUCGGAUUAGCUAGUUGGUGAGGUAAUGGCUCACCAAGGCUACGAUCCGUAACUGGUCUGAGAGGAUGAUCAGUCACACUGGAACUGAGACACGGUCCAGACUCCUACGGGAGGCAGUAGUGGGGAAUAUUGGACAAUGGGCGAAAGCCUGAUCCAGCCAUGCCGCGUGUGUGAAGAAGGUCUUCGGAUUGUAAAGCACUUUAAGUUGGGAGGAAGGGCAGUUACCUAAUACGUGAUUGUCUUGACGUUACCGACAGAAUAAGCACCGGCUAACUCAGUGCCAGCAGCCGCGGUAAUACAGAGGGUGCAAGCGUUAAUCGGAAUUACUGGGCGUAAAGCGCGCGUAGGUGGUUUGUUAAGUUGAAUGUGAAAUCCCCGGGCUCAACCUGGGAACUGCAUCCAAAACUGGCAAGCUAGAGUAUGGUAGAGGGUAGUGGAAUUUCCUGUGUAGCGGUGAAAUGCGUAGAUAUAGGAAGGAACACCAGUGGCGAAGGCGACUACCUGGACUGAUACUGACACUGAGGUGCGAAA